CCGAGUUGUCGAAACGGGCUGCUGCUGGCUCCUUUUGGGGGCAUGUGCACGCUUGUUCGCAUCCCAUCCUUCACACUUGUGCACUAUCUGUAGUUCUGAGCGGAGAGGUGCCUCGUUCACCUCAAAAGCUUGGUUCUAUGUUAUUUCCACGACCCUUCAGUUCAAUAGAAUGUGUUCACAGGCGCGUACGACGUCUGAUAACAAUAUAUA
rnacentral:misc_RNA from 1 species